GUCUUUUUGAUUAAUAAUUUAAAGUCUAAUCUGCCCACUGAUAUUAUAUUAAAGGGCUGCAGUAUUUUGACUGUACAAAGGUAGCAUAAUCAUUAGUCUCUUAAUUGGUGACUUGUAUGAAAGAUUUGAUGAAAUAUAUACUGUCUCUUUUUAAUUUAUAAAAUUUAAUUUUUUGGUUAAAAAGCUAAAAUAUAUUUAAAAGACGAGAAGACCCUAUAGAGUUUUAUAUUUAAUUAAAUUAAAAUUUUUUAUAAGAUUUAAAAUUUUAAUAUAUUUAAAUAUUAUGUUGGGGUGACAAAAAAAUUUGAAUAACUUUUUUUAUAUAUUAACAUUAAUAAAUGAAUAAAGGAUCCGUAAUUUACGAUUAUAAGAAAAAAUUACCUUAGGGAUAACAGCGUAAUUUUUUUUUUUAGUUCAAAUAAGAAUAAAAGUUUGCGACCUCGAUGUUGGAUUAAGAUAAAAUUUAAAUGCAAAAGUUUAAAAUUUUUGAUCUGUUCGAUCAUUAAAAUCUUACA
rnacentral:rRNA from 1 species